rnacentral:lncRNA from 1 species
AAUGCAUGAGAACAAGCUAACUCAGUCGCAUAAAUAUGCUCUUAUCAGUAUACAUCCUCAAAACGUACUAUAUUACUAACCAACUUUACGACACGAACUAAAAAGGUCUUCGCAACUUUCUCAACACUCAAAUCACCCUAACAGUGAGACAUCAACUCAUAUUUCGAUUCUACUGUCUAUCUAUGGAAGUGAUCAAGAGGUGGCUAGUUGAAGAAGGUUUGAUUACCCAAAUAGGUAAUAUGAUUAACAUAACUGUGCGUUUACUGUCUUAAAAUAGAGUUUGCCCCUAACUUUCCGAGAUUUAGUUUCUUAAGCUUUAGCAGUAACUGUUAGUCAGUCUUUUGGUAAAGAACUAGUACUAGGAACUAGUGCCAUAAUUUUAGGGAAUAUACUUUCUACUUCGGAGAUUUCUACUGACCGUAGAUAUAAUAAUUCUUAGUCCCAUGCCAAUGCUCAUCAAAAUGACGAGUAUAGCACCAAAAGUAAUGUGGGAAAUUUGUAUUGGUUCAGUGUUCUAAAGAAAAUAAAAUUUUCUAGUAAUCUACUUUGGAACGGACUUAAACGGAAGUCAAUCUUCCUCUUGAAGAUCUGGAAUGAUCACUAGUGUGUUUGGAAAAAUUUGUGCUAUCGGGGACCAGAAGUGAUUAUCCUAAGAUGUUCUAUCAUCGAGUGCUAUCUGGAAAUUUUGACAAAAAUUAAAACUUCGUAAGGAUUCUAAUAAGUGGAACAUUAACGGGUACUACCAAGGAAUCAAGACUAUCGAUGGCUUCCUAACUCGAAAAGUUCGGAAGAAAUGACCAGAUAGUAGUGGAAUUGGUAGGAAAUUCUCCCCCAGGAUACAACUAUCAAUAUAGUAGCCCUACCUUAGGGGUAUCAACUGAUAUCAAAUCAACAUCUUUCCUUGGCAGGAAAAUUCUUCUCUUAUAGUUUAGAGGCAUUCGCCAAAAUGAUCUUCUAAAACGUUGACAAGUCGACAAAGCUGCCCAAAACUUAGGAAAAACUAACACAUUUUUCGUAUUCAACGAGGUGGCAAGAUUCAGAAAUUAGGUUCAAGAAUGAAGAAUGCUUACAUCACGCGUGCGAUGAACGCAAUACUGUCUAACCUAUGCUCUGAUACCAAACUGACACAUCCCGACCCGGAUUGUGCACUAAGACUUCGGAUCGAGUUGUGCUAGCCGACACUUGGAAGGUGACGAAGCCAUAAAGUAUAGUGAUGUGGAAUAUGUGAAUAAAUUUAAACCUAAAAGUGCGUAAAUACGACAGUGCGCUAUGAGCGGAAACGAACCCAUUUUACACGUGACGUUAGAGCAUAAGUAAAGUACAGUAGAGUGGAUUGAAAAUUAUACCAUCGAAGGAAAUCUCUAAUACCAAGAUUUGCCACUAAUCCUCAUCGAUAUGAAAACUCUGCUACUAAAACCUGGAGGGAUAAAAACAAGAGUGAGUAGGCCUGAAAAUAAUGCAUUAAUAAAGACCUUCUAAACGUUAUAAUCACUCGUUGUAAUACCUGUAUAGUUUCCAGGAAAUCAUACCAUGUAUAAGUAUGAAAUCAAAUGUAAAUCAAUAGUAAAUCCAGGAAUAUUCCAAAUCACUACAUAUCGGCAGCAGCAUAAAAAAAAUCAGGUGCUCAUCAAUCUAUGAUAACACACGAGUUGGAGUUGCCUAAUGCAACCUAUUUGACUCAUAAAUCAAUCUAUGAUAACACAUGAGUAGGGGUUGUAUAAUGCAACUUGCAUGACUCACAAAUCAAUCUAUGAUAAUGUUGGUGAAGGAAAAAUUUUGUCCUAGCUAAGAACAUGUAAGAACAUUUGAAUACAUAUGCAAACUAUUAACACU